rnacentral:sRNA from 1 species
GCGGAGGAAAAGAAACCAACAGGGAUUGCCCUAGUAACGGCGAGUGAAGCGGCAACAGCUCAAAUUUGAAAUCUGGCUCUCUUUGGGGGUCCGAGUUGUAAUUUGCAGAGGAUGCUUUGGCAUUGGCGGCGGUCUAAGUUCCUUGGAACAGGACAUCGCAGAGGGUGAGAAUCCCGUACGUGGGCGCCUGCCUUUGCCGUGUAAAGCUCCUUCGACGAGUCGAGUUGUUUGGGAAUGCAGCUCUAAAUGGGAGGUAAAUUUCUUCUAAAGCUAAAUACCGGCCAGAGACCGAUAGCGCACAAGUAGAGUGAUCGAAAGAUGAAAAGUACUUUGGAAAGAGAGUCAAAAAGCACGUGAAAUUGUUGAAAGGGAAGCGCUUGCAGCCAGACUUGCCCGCAGUUGCUCACCUAGGCUUUGGCCUGGGGCACUCUUCUGCGGGCAGGCCAGCAUCAGUUUGGGCGGUCGGACAAAGGCCUCUGUCAAGUAUCUCCCUUCGGGGUGACCUUAUAGGGGAGGCGUAAUGCGACCAGCCCGGACUGAGGUCCGCGCAUCUGCUAGGAUGCUGGCGUAAUGGCUGUAAGCGGCCCGUCUUGAAACACGGACCAAGGAGUCUAACAUCUAUGCGAGUGUUUGGGUGUCAAGCCCGGGCGCGCAAUGAAAGUGAACGGAGGUGGGAACCCUUUGGGUGCACCAUCGACCGAUCCUGAUGUCUUCGGAUGGAUUUGAGUAAGAGCAUAGCUGUUGGGACCCGAAAGAUGGUGAACUAUGCUUGAAUAGGGUGAAGCCAGAGGAAACUCUGGUGGAGGCUCGCAGCGGUUCUGACGUGCAAAUCGAUCGUCAAAUUUGG